AACGAACGCUGGCGGCAUGCUUAACACAUGCAAGUCGAACGAGACCCUCGGGUUGCGCGGCCUACGCGUGCGUAACGCGUGGGAAACUGCCAUUAGGCUCGCAAUAAAGCCAGGGAAGAGGUGCGAAUACCGGUUAAUGUAUCCGGUACAAAUAUUCAGAGCCGUUGGAUGGGGCCGCGUUGGAUAUGCUGGUUGGGAGGGUAACAGCCUAUUAAGGCGAUGAUGCGUAGCCGGUCUGCGAGGAUGAUCAUCCACAGUGGGACUGAGCCACGGCCCAGACUCCUACGGGAAGCAGCAGUGGGGAAUAUUGGACAAUGGGCAAAAGCCUGAUCCAGCUAUGCCGCGUGGGUGAUGAAGGCCUUAGGGUUGUAAAGCUCUUUUACCCGAGAUGAUAAUGACAGUACCGGGAGAAUAAGCGCCGGCUAACUCCGUG
rnacentral:rRNA from 1 species